rnacentral:rRNA from 1 species
UAGGGAAUAUUGGGCAAUGGAUGCAAGUCUGACCCAGCCAUGCCGCGUGGAGGAAGAAGGUCCUCUGGAUUGUAAACUCCUUUUUUGGGGGAAGAAUAGUUUUCUUGCGAGAGAAUGUGACGGUACCCUAAGAAUAAGCCACGGCUAACUACGUGCCAGCAGCCGCGGUAAUACGUAGGUGGCAAGCGUUGUCCGGAUUUAUUGGGUUUAAAGGGUGCGUAGGUGGUUUGAUAAGUCAGGGGUGAAAGC